rnacentral:rRNA from 1 species
UGAGCAACCUGCCCUUGACUCUGGAAUAACAGUUGGAAACACCUGCUAAUACUGGAUAUUCAUUGUCCUCCUCCUGGGGGGUGGUGGAAAGCUCCGGCGGUCAGGGACGAGCUCGCGGCCUAUCAGCUAGUUGGUGUGGGUAAUGACCCACCAAGGCGACGACGGGUAGCCGGCCUGAGAGGGCGACCGGCCACACUGGGACUGAGACACGGCCCAGACUCCGUACGGGAGGCAGCAGG